GACGAACGCUGGCGGCGCGCUUAACACAUGCAAGUCGAACGGAGAGGCCCUGCUUUUGUUGGUUUCUCGAGUGUCGAACGCGUGUGUGACACGUGAGUAACCUGCCCUUUACUUUGGGAGACCUUCGGGGAACUCGGGCUAUUAUCGCGUAUGAGCUCCUGCUGCAUGUUGGGGGUUGGAAAGUUGCGGUGGUUGGGUAUGGCCUCGCGGCUUAUCCGCUUGGUGGUUGGGUGGGGGCUUACCAAGGCUUUGACGGGUAGCCGGCCUGAGAUGGUGAGCGGCCAGGCUGGGACUGAGCUACGGCCCAGACCACUAUGGGAGGCAGCAGUGGGGAAUAUUGCAUAAUGGGCGGGAGCCUGACGCAGCAAAGCGGCGUGCGGGAGAACGGGCUUCGGGUUGUAAACCACUUUCGCCUGUGACGAAGCGUGAGUGACGGUAAUGAGUAAAGAAGCACCGGCUAACUACGUG
rnacentral:rRNA from 1 species